CGUGAGCCCGGGCACAAAGAGCCCUCUGCACUCGCGCCGCAGAACGGCGGACCCGAGUGACAGCUGGACGUAUCUCCCUGCCCACCCAUGGGGUUCCAGACAUGUCAACGUGACCACCACGACCCUAAGGACAUCAAAGGAGGAACCAAGGUUUGCCUUCUCUGGACAUUUCACGUACAUGGAGUCAGACAGCAUGUGGUCUCUUGUACAUGGCUUUUUUCACUCCAUAUUAUAUCUUCGAGGUUCAUCCAAGUCGUAAUGUAACAAUCGUUUGUUCCUUUAUACUGAGGCGUAGCUUUCAUUAUACGAACGUACGACUGUUUGCUUAUCGAUCCAUGAGGACAGGAUUUUAAUUUGAUCUGUGUUACUGGGGUAAAUGUACCCCCAUUCCAGGAGGCAUAUCCUGUUUCUGGGACAUCAGUGUUACACAGAGUUUUUCUCAACGGGUGAAGACAAUUUUGGGAGCACUCACCGUGUGCCAGGCACUGGCUAAACCUUGGAGAACAAUGAACAUUGAGUUGCAUAUCGGAGGACAGCAAGGCCCUGGGACAGAGGAGAGAGAAGGGGAUUUCCGAAUUCUUCCUGAACAUUCCUGACCACCCUCCCAUGGAAGCAGUCUUGCAGAUAAGUAUUCCAACUUACCAGCCUGCAGCCUACCCGCCUGCCCUCUCUCGGUCUGGCAAGAAAGUGUAGAACCUCAGAAUCCCCACGUGGGAGGGGAAAUGGGUGAUCAGCUUUUCUAGCCCUGUAGGUCACAAAGACCUUUAACCCAUUUCAUGGGGCCCCAGAGAGGGUGAUCGUCACACCCCUCUUUUGGCACGGAGGUUAGAAUGUUGUCAACUCCACCAUCAGGAACUUCUGUAGACUUGAGUUUAAUGACCUCAUCUCGAGAACCCGUAGAUCUGGUGUCAGAAGGAGUCAGGAGGGGACUGGGGACUCCUGGUGGCUCUUGUCAGUGCUGGCCCUUUGUCAUCACAUUCAUAAAACUUGGCCCAGGGCUCCUUUACCUGGCAGUGGAACGGGGAUGCCGGCACUGUGACUCUAGGGCCACAUUCUUUCCUUCAGAUCUGGACCAGUGCCCUGCGUCCCAGGUGCCCAGAGCAAGCUCUGAACACACACUGAGAGGCGCCCUGACUUUCCUGGCCCAGCUCUGCCAACCGAUGAAGAUAGCUUAGCUGUUACCAGAAGCAAAACCGAGAGAGGAUUCUGGGUCAGGAUUCGCAGGCAUUUGAUGGGGUUAGAAAAGUAUCCAAGGCUGAGCUGUAGGGCGCCCCUAUUUCCUCUCCACUGCCUCACACGUGGGUUAGUAUUGUGCACUCUGGGUGAAUGCAGGGCUGGAAGGAUCCCAGGGCACAGAGAGAGAGAAAGAGAGAGAGGGACAGACUUCCUAGGGCUACACAGGAUGGCAAAGCUGGAUCAGAACUCUGGAUUCCUGACUCUGUUCACUGCUUCCACUCAGCUGUUGCCGAGCUGAAUUUGUCUUCCUUUGUCCUGGGGCCCUUUCUGCUGUUGUUGGGGAACAAGGAGGUGGGUGAGGGAGCCCCCCUUAUCCCGAGGACAUUCUGGGAUGGGAGGAA